rnacentral:rRNA from 1 species
UACAGGGGGGGCAAGCGUUGUUCGGAAUUACUGGGCGUAAAGGGCCAGUAGGCGGCUAACUAAGUCCGACGUGAAAUCCCCAGGCUUAACCUGGGAACUGCGUCGGAUACUGGUUGGCUUGAAUUCGGGAGAGGGAUGCAGAAUUCCAGGUGUAGCGGUGAAAUGCGUAGAUAUCGUGGAGGAAUACCGGUGGCGAAGGCGGCAUCCUGGACCGAC